rnacentral:rRNA from 1 species
GCGUUCAUACCAGCAGUAAUGCACCGGAUCCCAUCAGAACUCCGAAGUUAAGCGUGCUUGGGCGAGAAUAAUACUGGGAUGGGUUGCCCACUGGUAAGUCCUCGUGUUGCACCCC